rnacentral:lncRNA from 10 species
UACUAGGAACUUCAAAGAGGAACCAGGAGUACGGGAGGAGCAUGAAAGUGGACAAGGAGUGUGACCAUUGAAGCACAGCACCACAGGGAGGGGUUUAGGCCUCCGGAUGACUGAAGGCAGGCCUGGAUAAUAUCCAGCCUUCCACAAGAAGCUGGUGGAGCAGAGUGUUCCCUGACUCCUCCAAGGAAAGGAGACUCCCUUUUGCAGUCUGCUAAGUAACGGGUGCCUUCCCAGACACUGGUGUUACCACUUGAACAACGAGCCCUCAAGCAGCCCUUAUGCGGGCGUGACAGAAGGCUCACCUCUUGCCUUCUAGGCCACUUCUCACAAUGUCCCUUCAGCACCUGACCCUAUACCCACCGGUUAUUCCUAGGUUAUAUUAGUAAUGCAACAAAGAGUAAUAGUAAAAGCUGAUGAUUAAUAAUGUUUAUAAUAAUGAUUGAUAAUUGUCCAUGAUCAUCUCUAUAUCUAAUUUGUAUUAUGACUAUUCUUAUUCUAACUAUUUUCUUUAUUAUACUGAAACAGUUUGUGCCUUCAGUCUCUUGCCUCAGCACCUAGGUAAUCUUUCGCCCACACCUGUAAUCCCAGCACUUUGGGCAGCCAAGGUGGGUAGAUCACUUGAGCUCAGGAGUUUGAGAUCAGCCUGGCCAACAUGAUGAAACCCCGUCUCUACUAAAAAUACAAAAAUUUGCUUGGCGUGGUGGCAGGCACCUGUAGUCCCAGCUACCUGGGAGGCUGAGGCAAGAGAAUCGCUUGAACCAGGAGGUGGAGGUUGCAGUUAGCAGAGAUUGUGCCAUUGCACCACUCCAGCCUGGGUGACAGAGCGAGACUCUGUCUCAAAAAAAAGAAAGAAAGUCGGGUGGGGAUCCCCCAUCUAGAGUCCAGCCUCCUGGGGUUGGGCUGUUCAGCUCCAGGAAGCCCCUGGUGUGGCUAAAAGGUUUGGGCAGCCCCUGAAGCUGCCUUGGGAUCAGACUCUCAUUGGUGCUCCUCAGGUCUAGGAUUUUCUUCCCAACUCAGAGGGGAGAAGGGAAAUGACGUUGUUUAUUGUGUCUGGAGCUGUGGGGCCUUUACCUAAGCCCUGUCAGGAAGGUUGUGUUUUCGCCAGCUGAGAUGCUGGGAGAUGCACCCAGGAUGGCUGGGUGCCUGCGGGUUGGAGGGGAGAAAGCAGAGCGAAGGGAAGAGGUGUUAGACAAGCAAAGGAGCCCUGGCUCUUAAUUUUCACCCCUAAGUCCUUGGUUUUGGCCUGGGACUGUAAAACCCCUCACAGAGCAGUAGGGGUUCUUAGCCCCAGGGUCAGACAUGGAGUGGUCCCUGGAACCCUCAGUGCCUUACCCCAAGUGGCUAACCUCCUUCCUGAACAGGCAGAUGUGUCAUGCUGGGCAGCACCUCUCCCUCCCGACACCUGCAUGGUGACUCAAACUCCCAGGUAAAGCCCAACCCGAUGGGAAAUGACUCAGCAUUGAAGUUCUCUUCCCCUCAUUGGGGAGGGAGCAGGAAGCCCGAAGCUGGGCCUGACGCUCCCCUUUGAUUUCUCAAGGUAGUGACGGGGGAAGGGGAGCUUUGCAGGGGAGUUUUGCCUGGCCAACAUGGUGAAACCCUGUCUCUACUAAAAAUAUAAACACUUGCUGGGCGUGGUGGCGGGCGCCUGUAAUCCCAGCUACUCAGGAGGCUGAGGCAGGAGAAUCACUUGACCCAGGAGGUGGAGGUUGCAAUGAGCCGAGAUUGUGCCAUUGCACCACUCCAGCCUGGGUGACAGAGUGAGACUCCCUCUCAAAAAGAAGAAAGUUGGGGUGGGGUGUCCCCCUAGAGCAUCUUCUUCCUACAGCUUCUGCUUUUACACACACACUCUCUCUCUCUCUGUGUGUGUGUAUGUGUAGACAGUCUAGGACACUUGAGGGUGGGCGUGCUGGGAUCUACAAGACUUCCCCCUUGCCUUCAUCUCUGUUGCCUGCCACUUCCUACCCUGCUGCCCUUUAGGGAGAGUUGAAAGUUUAUUUCCUGCCCCAGUGAAUUAUUAUUAUUUUUGACUAGCGAAGGUGGGAUUUGGGCAAUAGGGAGGACUUUUGCUGAUUGCCCAGACUGGAGACCUGACAGUGGGGUAGUGCUUAGGAGAGUCCAGUCGCUAGAUCACGAAAGCUCCAUUUAAAAUGCAUAGUUGGGGCUAGGCAUGGUGGCUCACGCCUGUAAUCCCAGGAUUCUGGGAGGCCUAGGCGAUGGAUCCCUUGAGGCCAGGAGUUAGAGACCAGCCUGGCCAACAUGGCAAAACCCCGUCUCUACUAAAAACACAAAAAUUAGCUGGGCGUGGUGGCAUGCACCUGUAAUCCCAGCUACUCAGGAGGCUGAGGCACGAGAAUCACUUGAACUUAAGAGGCAGAGUUUGCAGGGAGCUGAGAUCGUACCACUGCACUCCGGCCUGGGUGACAGAGUGAGACUCCAUCUCAAAUAAAUAAAUAAAAAUAAAAAUAAAAUGCACAGUUGGACUGUCUCUGGAAGGUUGCGGGCGAACCAGAAAUGUAGUGACCUCCAGGAAGGAAAAUUGCUACUACUCUUUUCCACAUAUCCUUUGAUCACUUUUAAAUUGUGUUCCAUUUGCAAGUACUACCUACUCAAAUGGAAAGAAUAAAACAUGGUUACCUGGGAAGGAAGAUAAAAAGAGAGUCCUUUUCCAUAUUAGUGCUAAGCACUUCGUACAGUUCGUCCUUAACUGGACAAGAAUUACGGAAUCUCUAUAGGAUGAUGUCAGGAGCUGUGCUGGAUUCUGGAGACUCAGCGUCUACAAAACAGCAUCCCUUGCCUCACAGCGAUCCCAGUUGGGAGAGCAAUUCAGACAGACAGCAAGGCAAUGAACACGCAGUGUCAGAAGCGUGAUGAUGAGAAGUGCAGACACCAGGGAAUUGCAAAGGAGGCUCCUCUGCCCAGACCUGGGGAGAAAAGACCUUUCUGGACCCAGUGAUAUCCAAGCUGAGACCAGGAGUUAGUCGGAGGGGAAGAGAGCUCCAGGCACAGGGAACAGCACAACAUACGCAAAGACUGCAGGAGCCGUAUAAAACUUGACUGCUUCCUUGGAACUGCAAGCAGUCAACAUGUCUGGAGUAUUGAGUUUGGAGAGGGUGUGUGGAAGAAUGAAGCCACAGAGGUAAGGUCAGAUCAUAGAGUAUUUUAUAAGCUAAUGUAAGGUCAGUUAGUGGUCACCUUGAACAGGUGUGAAGCCCUGGGGGACAGGGGUUAAUAAUCUACCUGUAUUGGAAUGCUGUUUUGCCAAGCACUGUAAUCUUUUUAUGCAUUAGCUCAUUUAACACUUCCAAAAAGCGCCUGAGAUUUUUACCAUCAUUUUUUUCUUUUCUUUUUUCUUUUUGUUUUUUGUUUUUGUUGUUGUUGUUGUUGUUUAGACGAAGUCUGACUCUGUAGCCCAGGCUGGCGUGCAGUGGCGUUAUCUCGGCUCACAACAACCUCUGCCUCCCGGGUUCAAGCGAUUCUCCUGCCUCAGCCUCCAGAGCAGCUGGGAUUAUAGGUCCGGGACUGUUAAGGGGUACCAGCCAAGAUGUCCAACUCCUCACCAGCAUAUUCUGCCAGACCAGGGCACCCUGCUCUGAUCAUGCUGAGACAUGGGACCCAAGUCCAACACGUUUGGUCAAUGCAUGAUUUCAAAGAAUUGUAACAUCAGCAGCAGAGAAACUGGAGACCCAAAGAAUGGAUUCAAAUGCUUGUUGCCUGAAUCUGCUCUUCUCACAAGUCCCUCAAUAUUGUACCUGAAUAUAAUACCUUCUCCUGCAUCAAGAGAGGACAUUAGGUGGGUCCCAGCUGCCUCUUCAGGGAUUUAACAGGCUAACCAGGAGCUCUCACUUGUCUUUCUACCUGCAAACUACAGAAUGGGUGCAGAUCUUUCCAGGAAGCUUAUAAAAGCUCACAGGGUGAGGCGAAAGUUGGCUUAGUCUCAGAGAUUCAUUGUUGUUGGGAACGUAGAGCCCUGAGCGCUUUAAGUCCUGAAAAUCUUCUAGUUUCUGAUCUUUAGCUCAACUUUUAACUGUUUUCCUCCUGAUUUUUGUUUGGCUUUCUGAUUUGAUUCUCUGGUUUGACAUAUGUGUCUGUCUUAAUUAGGUUUUCCAGCAGGUCAUGGCCCUGUCCCGGGCCCAUGUAAACCAUCAAAGGCUUGCCUCAGUCAUCCCUAUACCAGCUUCUCACCUUGCCCAGUCUUAGGGCCUGGGAUCUAAGAGCCCUCUGGAAGAUCUACCCUUUUUCUACAUCUGAAAACUCACUAUUAGAGAGUUAAAGUCUUCGAAACAUUCCAUGUUUCCCAAGGGUCCACAUGGCAAUUUUGUGAUAUAUUUAUAGGUAGCAAGUGGAACAAAGGGGUUUGUAGCCAAAUAAAUUUGGAGAAUGUUAUGUGAGGUUAGUUUCUUGUCUACAACAAGGCUUAAUAUGCUUUGAACAGGUUAAACAUCCAUACAAUGAACUUAGUCAGCUCACAAUCCAGUACCCAAAACCCUUGGAACCAGAUAUAUUUGGAUUUCAGAAUAUUUCAGGUUUUAAUAAGGUAAAUGGUGAAUAUGCUAUUUAUUCCACUAUUUAUUCCAUUGCACCCAGAAGAGCUGGCAGGCCCUGUAAUCAAGCACAUACUUCUGCAGCAAAACAUAUGCAUCUUCAUACUAAGUAGGCUAAGUAAAAAAUCUGAAAAGCCACAACAUCAUUUUAGGUCAGGUUUUACCCCUAAGUCUUGUUUUGUUUUUUGAGACGGAGUCUUGCUCUGUUGCCCAGGCUGGAGUGCAGUGGUGUGAUCUCGGCUCACUGCAACCUUCACCUCCUGGGUUCAAGCGAUUCUCCUGUUUCAGCCCCCCUAGUGACUGGGAUUAUAGACACACACCACCACACUGGGCUAAUUUUUGUAUUUUUAGUAGACAUGGCAUUUCACUAUGUUGGCCAGGCUGGUCUCAAACUUCUGACCUCAAGUGAUCCAUCCACAUCGGCCUCCCAAAGUACUGGGAUUACAGGCAUGAGCCAUAGCACCCAGCCUGUUAUUUUUUAAAACUUAGUUUUUAGCACUUUUUGGACUUCAACCUGAUGGAUACAGGAUGGGGCCGUGUAGAUGGUGUUCCCAACAUAGAUGAUCUCAGAACUCCCUCUUCCAGGAGCAUCUAGCAGGACAGGUAUUUCAUGGACUCCAAGGAUACCCUCAGCUGUUAGUCUAUAACACAGGAGAGUGAACACAGUCGGUCAUUCUCACUUUAGCCUUAUCCUCUCCCACACCAACUAGAUGAGGUGAGGAUUCUGACAGCCAAACAAGGAGGAGAAGCUGGAGAGCCUGUGCAUGUGUGCAGAUGUGGUUGGGGAGUCAUGGUUCAGCUGUCAGCUUCUGGUGGAAAAGGGAUACCAAAAAGAGCGGCAUAGUGGACAUCCAGGUUAUGGUGGUUUUCUUCUGUGUACACUUCUGUGUUUUUCACAUUUCCUUUAGAAAUGACGAGCUUUUUCUCCCUUAUUGCUGUUUUCUACUGCAGGGAGUUGCUGCUCUUAGUGUUGCAGUGUGGGGAGGUAGGAUGGGGCUGACGCAGAGCCUGAGGGCAAGGCAGGGUUCCUGGGAAGAUGGAUUCCUGUGAUUCUGGCCUUGUGCCUCAGCCAGAGCUGAGGUGGGGUGGGGUGUAUGCCUAAGGCCAGGGUCCCCUGGGGAAGGAGGAGGAUGUUGGAUUUCUGGUGGAUUUCCAGGAAGACUUCCUGCUCUGACAAAAACAACACAAACACAGGAAGAGGCUCUGGGGCCUAAGGAGAGGGGAUAAUGGACCAAGGUGGAGACUUUUGGGGUGGAGGCUGAUACAGAGAGCAGCCCAGGAACAGAGAAGCUGCCUCCUCGCUGUCCAACUGUGUUCCCCAAGCCAGCUGAGAGUCUUUCUCUACUGUGGUGGCAAGUUGGGAACUGGAGGAAGAGGCCCAGUAACUUUGGACUCCCUGGCUUCUUCUCCACUUUUCAUUGAGUAUAAUAUUUCUUGGUGGCCUGGACCAUGAGGAUGGGGGUGGAGAGUAGGCAGUGGACUGCGGGGGGGCAUUUGGCUAAGGCCUCAGAUUAUGUAGGGCCUCAGAUACAGACCUUAAAUGUGUGGGGUCACACACCUGUCAGAGCUACAUUCAGCCUCACUGUGCGGGAUCAGGUGAAGACAUGCAUCCUAAACUUGCUACCAUUACCAGCCCUAUGGUGUGCUGUAAACUCAUUAUCUUCAUAUGGCUUGUGAAUUGCUCUGUUAUGUUGCAUUAUAUAUGUAUAUAUACACAUAUGUGUGUAUGGGACUCUGUGUGUGUGUUUGUUGUAAACCAAAAAUAAAAAUCUAAGGCUACCCCCACCAUCUGAAGAGACUCCCUCCUCUUGGCCAGGCCACUCCAAAGUUAACCUGAACAACUGUUUUCAGGCCAUGAGGGGAAGUGGGGGUUGGACCUGCCUCAUAAUGCCCUCCUGCCUUUUGGAAUUCAGGAAAAGCUGACCAGCAUUAACAACAACAUAGACCUUAAGUCUGAUAAAUAACCUUUACAAUCUAUUCUCUCCUGAAGCCUGCUAUCUGGAGGCUUCAUUUGCAUGAUAAAACUUUGGUCUCCAUAACCUCUUAUCAUAACCUAGAUAUUUCAUUCUAGUGAUAACUCUUUUAACCAUUGCCAAUGAGAAUUUUGUUUGUUUGUUUGAGAUGGAGUCUUGAGUGCAGGCUGGAAUGCAGUGGUGCAAUCUUGGCUCACUGCAACCUCCGCCUCCCAGCUUCAAAUGAUUCUCCUGCCUCAGCCUCCUGAGUAGCUAGGAUUACAGGUGCCUGCCACUACGCCCGGCUAAUUUUUGUAUUUUUUAGUAGAGACAGGGUUUUGCCAUGUUGGCCAGGCUGGUCUCAAACUCCUGACCUCAGAUGAUCUGCCCACCUCAGCCUACCGAAGUGCUGGGAUUACAGGCAUGAGCCACUGCACCCGGCCUAGAAAAUUUUUUAAUCUACCUAUAAUCUUGAAGGCUCUGUACCCCAUUCCCCAUUUUGAGUUGUCCCCCCUUUCUGGAUCUAACCAAUGUACAUCUUAAAUGUGUUGACUGAUGUCUCAUGCCUCCCUAAAAUGUAUAAAACCAAGCUGUGCCCCUACCACCUUGGGCACAUGUUCUCAGGGUCUCCUGAGGGCUGUAUCACAAGCUAUGGUCACCCAUAUUUGGCUCAGAA